rnacentral:rRNA from 1 species
CCUACGGGGGGCAGCAGUGAGGAAUAUUGGUCAAUGGACGCAAGUCUGAACCAGCCAUGCCGCGUGCAGGAAGACGGCUCUAUGAGUUGUAAACUGCUUUUGUACGAGGGUAAAUCCCGAUACGUGUACCGGGUUGAAAGUAGCGUACGAAUAAGGAUCGGCGAACUCCGUGCCAGCAGCCGCGGUAAUACGGAAGGUCCGGGCGUUAUCCGGAUUUAUUGGGGUGAAAGGGAGCGUAGGUCGCAUGGCAAGCGUGCUGUGAAAUGUCCGGGCUCAACCCGGGCCUUGCAGCGGGAACUGGCGUGCUUGAGUCCGCGGAAGGCAAGCGGAAUUCGUGGUGUAGCGGUGAAAUGCUUAGAUAUGACGAAGAACCCCGAUUGCGAAGGCAGCUUGCUGCAGCGGAACUGACGCUGAUGCUCGAAAGCGCGGGUAUCGAACAGGAUUAGAUACCCGUGUAGUC